ensembl:snRNA U6 U6 spliceosomal RNA
GUGCUCACUUUAGCAGCACAUAUACUAAAAUUGGAAAGAUCCAGAGAAGAUUAGCCUGGCCCCUGCGCAGUGAUAACACACAAAUUUGUGAAAAAACAUACGUCAUU